CCUGAGUACGACGGAGCACGUGAAAUUCCGUCGGAAUCUGGGAGGACCAUCUCCUAAGGCUAAAUACUCUCUAGUGACCGAUAGUGAACCAGUACCGUGAGGGAAAGGUGAAAAGUACCCCGGAAGGGGAGUGAAAGAGAACUUGAAACCGUGUGCUUACAAGUAGUCAGAGCCCGUUAAUGGGUGAUGGCGUGCCUUUUGUAGAAUGAACCGGCGAGUUACGAUCUGAUGCAAGGUUAAGCAGAAAAUGUGGAGCCGUAGCGAAAGCGAGUCUGAAUAGGGCGAAUGAGUAUUUGGUCGUAGACCCGAAACCAGGUGAUCUACCCUUGGUCAGGUUGAAGUUCAGGUAACACUGAAUGGAGGACCGAACCGACUUACGUUGAAAAGUGAGCGGAUGAACUGAGGGUAGCGGAGAAAUUCCAAUCGAACUUGGAGAUAGCUGGUUCUCUCCGAAAUAGCUUUAGGGCUAGCCUCAAGUGAUGAUUAUUGGAGGUAGAGCACUGUUUGGACGAGGGGCCCCUCUCGGGUUACCGAAUUCAGACAAACUCCGAAUGCCAAAUAAUUUAACUUGGGAGUCAGAAUGUGGGUGAUAAGGUCCAUAUUCGAAAGGGAAACAGCCCAGACCACCAGCUAAGGUCCCAAAAUAUAUGUUAAGUGGAAAAGGAUGUGGCGUUGCCCAGACAACUAGGAUGUUGGCUUAGAAGCAGCCAUCAUUUAAAGAGUGCGUAAUAGCUCACUAGUCGAGUGACACUGCGCCGAAAAUGUACCGGGGCUAAACAUAUUACCGAAGCUGUGGAUUGUCCUUUGGACAAUGGUAGGAGAGCGUUCUAAGGGCGUUGAAGCAUGAUCGCAAGGACAUGUGGAGCG
rnacentral:rRNA from 1 species